rnacentral:rRNA from 1 species
ACUCUGGCCUCAAAUCAGGUAGGACUACCCGCUGAACUUAAGC